CUAAUACAUGCAAGUCGAGCGGAGUUUUAAAAGCUUGCUUUUAAAACUUAGCGGCGGACGGGUGAGUAACACGUGGGCAACCUGCCCUGUAGACUGGGAUAACUUCGGGAAACCGAAGCUAAUACCGGAUAAUCUUUGGAGCUUCAUGGUUCUAAAGUAAAAGUUGGGUUUACCUAACACUACGGGAUGGGCCCGCGGCGCAUUAGCUAGUUGGUAAGGUAACGGCUUACCAAGGCGACGAUGCGUAGCCGACCUGAGAGGGUGAUCGGCCACACUGUCUUGAUGGGAUUGUUUCAGGAAACUUGGUUCCUUCAUUCCAAUCCUCAGUUGUAA
rnacentral:ncRNA from 1 species